rnacentral:rRNA from 1 species
AAUCUGCCACAAUGGACGAAAGUCUGAUGGAGCAACGCCGCGUGGGUGAAGAAGGUUUNCGGAUCNUNAAACUCUUUUGUUGGAGNAGAAUGAAUUUGAUAGUAAUUGAUCAGGUAGUGACGUUAUCCAACCAGAAAGUAACGGCUAACUACGUGCCAGCAGCCGCGGUAAUACGUAGGUGGCAAGCGUUGUCCGGAUUUAUUGGGCGUAAAGCGAGCGCAGGCGGUUUCUUAAGUCUGAUGUGAAAGCCUUCGGCUCAACCGAAGAAGCGCAUCGGAAACGGGGAAGCUUGAGUGCAGAAGAGGACAGUGAAACUCCAUGUGUAGCGGUGAAAUGCGUAGAUAUAUGGAAGAACACCAGUGGCGAAGGCGGCUGUCUGGUCUGUAACUGACGCUGAGGCUCGAAAGCAUGGGUAGCAAACA